rnacentral:lncRNA from 1 species
GCUGUAGAUUUGGGGAAGAUAAAUGUUGUCAAGUUAAGGAAGUUUACUUCUAUUCCUAAUUUACUAAAAAUUGUUGGGUUUUGUGUGUUUAAUGAGGAAUGGAGCUGAGUUAUAUUAAAUAUUAUUUUUUUAAGAUUUUAUUUAUUUAUUCAUGAGAGACACAGAGAGAGGCAGAGAUAUAGACAGAGGGAGAAGCAGGCUCCCUGUGGGGAGCCCGAUGCGGGACACAAUCCUAGGAUCCCGGGAUCAUGACCUGAACCAAAGGCAGACACUCAACCACUGAGCCACCCAGGCAUCCCUAAAUGUUCUUUUUUGAGGUGAGGACUGUUGAGGUUGAUUUUUUUCCUCUGUUAAUCUGAUAACUUGUAGACAAUUAAUCAUCUUUGCAUUCCUGAGAUAAAUCCUAAUUAGACAUAAUGCAUUUAUUUUUUAAUACAUCAGUGGACUUGAUUUAUGACUAUAUUAUUUAAAUUUUUGAAUCUUCCAUGAAUGACAUUGGCCUAAAUCUAAAAGCAUGCGACCCUUGUCUAAAUUUGGUUUCAGCCUUGUAGGUUAAGUGAGGAAGCUUUAUUUAGCUCAUUCUCUAUGUUCUGGAGCAUUUUAUCUAACAAAAGAAACAGUUAUUCCUUAAGGCUUGAUAGAAUUAACCUGUAAAAAAAACCAAAAAACUAGUCUUGAUGCUUUCUCAGAGGACGACUUCUUCCCACUUUUUCUUUAAAAAAAGAUUUGAUUUAUUUAUUUGAGAGAAAGAGAGAGAAAGCAUGAACAAGGAGGGGGAAGGGCAGAGGUACAAAUAGACUCUUCCCUGUGAGCAGCCCAGUGUGGGGCUUGAUCCCAGGACCUUGAGAUCACGAUCUGAGCCAAAGUCAGACACUUAACCAACUUAACCCAGGUGCCCCAACUUCUUCCCACUUUUAAAAUUCUCUUAUUUUUUGGAAUAUUAAACUGUUUAUCUUGUGAAAUAGAUUUUACUAAGUUACACUUUCCUAGAAAAUCUUCCACUGAGUUUAGAUUUUCAAUUUUUUGGUAUAUAAAUACAACUUUAAACCUUUUCCAGGGAUCCCUGGGUGGCGCAGCGGUUUGGCGCCUGCCUUUGGCCCAGGGCACGAUCCUGGAGACCCGGGAUCGAAUCCCACAUCGGGCUCCCGGUGCAUGGAGCCUGCUUCUCCCUCUGCCUAUGUCUCUGCCUCUCUCUCUCUCUCUCUCUGUGACUAUCUAAAUAAAAAAAAAAAAAAAAAGAGAGAGAGAGAGAACAUGUGAGGGUGGGGGGGCGGGGGGCGAGGCAGAGGAAGAGGGAGAGAGGGAAGCUCAAGCAGGCUCCUUGUUCAGUUCAGAGCCCAACGCAGGGCUUGAUCUCAAGACCCUAGACCAUGACCUGAGCCAAAAUCAAGGGCCUAGACACUUAACCAAGUCACCCAAGUGCCCCAAUGUUUAUUAUUUUCUAAACAAUGCAAUAAAGGCUCUAAAAUUUCUUUCAAAUAUCACUUUGUUAGAAUCCUCUAGAUUUGGGUAAUAUUUUGUGUUUAUUGGUUUCUAUUUCUAAAUACUCUGUGAUUUGAUACAAUAGUAUUAAAGAUGUUUUAUUUUCUCCACACAGAGAAAUUUGGGUGGGAGGUAUCCUUUAAC